rnacentral:misc_RNA from 1 species
GGAAGUCAAUAGAAUCGCCACCGUGCUUUCCGCCGUCGGCAAUCUAUCUCCGGCGAAUUCAGCCGACACUGUUUGAAAAAAUAAAUUUCUACAGGACAUAGUGUUAAGAGACAACCCUGAGUAUGCUUUCAGGAUUGAAAAUCAUUCCACGCGAACACGUAGAAAAGGCAAAGGAUGAAAGCUUGGAUGAUUCUCGAAAACAGAGGAGGAGAUCUGGUCAUAAGAAGGAUAGGGAGAGAAAGAAAAAGAAAAAAUCGCGUUCCACUAGUUCAGAUGAUGAAGACCUUGAUAAAAUAAGAGCAAGGUCAAAGAAAAAGAAGUGGUAUGCAUCAGAUGAGGAUUUGUCCUCGUAUUCAGAUGGAAGUGAGAGUGAUAGUGCUUCUGAUUAUGAGAGAAAGAACAGUAGCAGGAAGACAAGUAAGAAGAGAAGAAGCAAGCAUGGAAAAAGUAAAGAAAGAAGUCAAAGUUCUUCAUCUGAGUCUGAAAGUGAGAAAAGGAAGAGAAGUAAGAAAGACAGACAAAGUCGGAGAGAGGGUGAUGUACUGCAAAAUAACGUGCUUGAUAAUGACUUUGAUGGAUCUAAGUUGCGUAAUGAUCAUCAACGUGUGAGAAAAGAAAUGGGGUUGGAUUGGAUGCUGCGGCCUAAAGACAAUGCGGAUAAGAUUCCCGAAUCAGUCUCUAACUGUUCAGCCAAGGAGACUCCAGCUGAAGAGGUGACAAAAGUAAAUCCCAAAGAACUAAACCCAUAUUUGAAGGAUGGAGGAGGUGGUUAUCCUGAUGAUUCAGAAGGAACAAAGAGUGGUGGUAGCCAACUUCUGUCUUCUGCUGUUGUUGGUGAUGGAGGUGCAAGUUGGAGGCUUAAAGCCUUGAGACGAGCUCAAGAACAAGCAGAUCGGGAAGGACGAAAGCUUGAUGAGGUGGCAGCAGAACGCUGGGGAUCACUUAGUCAACUUGCGGUUUCUGUGUCUUCCGGUAAAGCUGCACCAACCCGUGCUCACCUUCAUGCUAUCAAACGGAGGCAAGGGGCAAUGGAUGACAAGGAAGCUGUUACAGACAAAAGAAAUCAGGCCUAUGCUAGAAAGGAGACAUCCCCUGGUCGUUCAAAGAUGCGGAUGCCCACCAACCUUAAAGACUCUUUAUCAUGGCGCAAAGAGAGAAACCAGAAUAUAUCCAAUGCAGAUGCGGGGCUUAUUGCCACUGCAAUAUCUAGUGUAAAUAAGUUCUCCAAUGAUGGAAAUUUUAUGCGUGAAUUUAUGCAUGAAAAGAGUGGUGAUUCCAGCCAUGCUCCUGAUUCUUCAAAUCCAAAGUCAGGGGUCUUGGAAUCAAAACCAGAUUUACCGGUAUAUGAGAGAACAAGUGAAGAUGCAACGAAUAUCAAACCAGCGUUGUCUGCAAAUCAAUUAGCUGCAAAAGUGAUGCAGCUUCGAAUGAAAGGGAUGCAUGAUGAAGCUGAAAAACUUCUGAAAGAAGCAGAGGAGCUGAAAACUAAACAAACUGCUAAUGAUGUGUUGAGUAGACCACGGAUAGAUGGGAGUACAAGCAGAUAUGUGAUGCAUGACCUAUCUGCUCGGCAAAAGAAUAAAGCAGAGGAUGCUGAUGUGCAUCUUGCUCAGAAGAUAGUGCAAAACAAAAAGUAUACUACAUAUGGUCAGGCGGAUGAUGAGUAUGAUUAUGAUGAUGGGCCGAGGAAAAAGUCCCGGAAGAAAGGAGGGGUGGAGAAUCAUAAAUCUCUUGAGACUGCUAAUCAUGCAAGGCGCAUUUUGACUCAGCAGGAGAGAUGCCAAUUCUGCUUUGAGAAUCCAACGAGACCAAAGCACCUCGUGGUUGCCAUUGCAAACUUCAGUUACUUAUCACUACCGGUAUGGCGGUCGAUUGCCCCGGGUCAUUGCUGCAUCUUGACAAUGCAGCAUGAAUCAGCUACAAGAUCUUUGGAUGAUAAUGUCUGGGAAGAGUUUAGGAACUUCAAGAAAUGCCUCAUUAUGAUGUUUGCGAAGCAAGAGAAGGAUCUCAUUUUUCUCGAGACUGUGAUGAGUUUGGCCCGGCAGAAGCGACAUUGUUUGGUAGAGUGCAUUCCUUUGCCCAAGGAAGUUGCAAAGCAAGCACCCUUGUACUUUAAAAAGGCGAUUGAUGAAGCCGAAGAUGAAUGGAGUCAACACAAUGCUAAGAAACUCAUAGAUACAAGUGUAAAGGGUUUGCGGGCAUCAAUCCCAAAGGAUUUUCCCUACUUCCAUGUUGAAUUUGGCUUAAAUAAAGGGUUCGUUCAUGUAAUUGACGAUGAAAACCAGUUCAGCAGCAGUUUCGGCCUCAAUGUAGUAAGAGGGAUGCUGAAGUUACCACCUGAAGACAUGCAUCAGCAUCGGAGGCGUGAAUCAGUUGACACUCAAAGAGAAGCUGUCGCUGGUUUUGCAAGAGAUUGGGACCCUUUUGACUGGACUAAACAGCUUUGAUCGACUAAUAUUAGGUGUAUGCGCCUGUAUUUUACGCGUAAGUUUCUUAAUUUUUAGCUUGAAUUAUGUUGAGGGAGGUUGCAUUUGUAAAGGAAAAGUGACUGAUCGUAUUCAUAGUAUCACUACUAUUGCAUGAUUGUGAUAUACUUGAAAAGAAGUG